rnacentral:rRNA from 1 species
AGCGAACGCUGGCGGCAUGCCUAACACAUGCAAGUCGAACGAACUCUUCGGGUUUAGUGGCGCACGGGUGCGUAACCCGUGGGAACGUGCCUUUUGGUUCGGAAUAACUCCGCGAAACUUGUGCUAAUACCGACUGUUCCCUUCGGUGCAAAGAUUUAUCGCCCUUAGAUCGGCCCGCGUCUGAUUAGCUAGUUGGUGGGGUAACGGCUAACCAAGGCGACGAUCAGUAGCUGGUCUGAGAGGAUGACCAGCCACACUGGGACUGAGACACGGCCCAGACUCCUACGGGAGGCAGCAGUGGGGAAUCUUGCGCAAUGGGCGAAAGCCUGACGCAGCAAUGCCGCGUGAAUGAUGAAGGUCUUAGGAUUGUAAAGUUCUUUGACCGGGGACGAUAAUGACGGUACCCGGAGAAGAAGCCCCGGCUAACUUCGUG